rnacentral:rRNA from 1 species
CCUACGGGUGGCAGCAGUAGGGAAUAUUGCUCAAUGGGGGAAACCCUGAAGCAGCAACGCCGCGUGGAGGAUGAAGGUUUUCGGAUUGUAAACUCCUUUUGUUAGAGAAGAUAAUGACGGUAUCUAACGAAUAAGCACCGGCUAACUCCGUGCCAGCAGCCGCGGUAAUACGGAGGGUGCAAGCGGUACUCGGAAUCACUGGGCGUAAAGAGCGCGUAGGCGGGAUAGCAAGUCAGAUGUGAAAUCCUAGGGCUUAACCAUAGAACUGCAUUUGAAACUGUUAUUCUAGAGUAUGGGAGGGGUAGGUGGAAUUCUUGGUGUAGGGGUAAAAUCCGUAGAGAUCAAGAGGAAUACUCAUUGCGAAGGCGACCUGCUAGAACAUAACUGACGCUGAUGCGCGAAAGCGUGGGGAGCAAACAGGAUUAGAUACCCCAGUAGUC